CCUACGGGGGGCAGCAGUGGGGAAUAUUGCACAAUGGGGGAAACCCUGAUGCAGCAACGCCGCGUGAGCGAUGAAGGCCUUCGGGUCGUAAAGCCAUGUCCUAAGGGAAGAAUACUGACGGUACCUGGGGGGGAAGCCCGGGUUAAGUACGUGCCAGCGCCCGGGGUAAUAUGUAGGGGGUUGGGGUAACCCGGAAUUAUUGGGCGUAAGGGGUCCGAAGGCGGCCCUUAAAGUAAGAGGUGAAAGGCUACGGCUCAACCGUAGUAAGACUUGGAACUUGUAGGGCUUGAGUGCAGGAGAGGAGAGUGGAAUUCCCAGUGUAGCGGUGAAAUGCGUAGAUAUUGGGAGGAACACCAGUUGCGAAGGCGGCUCUCUGGACUGUAACUGACGCUGAGGCACGAAAGCGUGGGGAGCGAACAGGAUUAGAUACCCCUGUAGUC
rnacentral:rRNA from 1 species